CCUUGUUGGCCGUUCGAUCUGGAGUGAAGGCACAGGAUGGGCAGGCUCAGUUCGCAUUGCAAUUUAUGCAAAAGACACCCUGGGUUAUUCCGUGAUUCAGCUGAAGUGCACACCGCUCUGUUCUGUUUUCCUCUUCUUCAAUACGAAAUUUUCCCCACCGCCGCCGCCUAGGUCAUAUCCUACCGCCGCCGGCCACCACGGAGCAUGCCCCAUCCGCUGCUGGACGCCCCAAUCAAGAGCAACCUAGAGGGCUAUUGCGCGUGCGCCGAAUAGUUUGCUCAGAGCCGGCAGAAGCUGUUGGCAUCCCCAUGGGAGCGGAGACGAACCUCUCGUCGCCGCAGCUAGAUCCGACCAAGUCGCGGGAGUCGGUGACCCUACUCAACGACGAUCAGAACUGGAUGUCGGCGCUGCGGGAGAGGAAAAUCAAUUCUCUAAUUGAACUGGAUGUCGAAACUGGCCUUAUUAUCUGUUCAAUUCAGAUGGACAUAUACACUAGUGUUACUAGGAAUCAAAACAAAUGUUUACCAAUUUCAUAUGCACCAAAAAGUCAUUAAUGGAGCCGACGGAGAGCACUGGUCAGAGUGUAGGAUCGACUACUCCAAUUGCACUUGAAGAUGACGCCAAUAGCAGUUUCAUGGAUGCAAAUCAGUCGGCUUCAUGUGGUGGAGAUAGUUAAAGUACACCAAGGAAAACAAGGUUCAGUAUACGUGGCUGAGUGUGACAAAAGCUUGGAGCCGGCAAUUGGCAUGGUCGUUGAUAAAUGGGAGACCGGCGAGAUGUUCUACACACGGUGAGAUGUUCUACACAUGAUCAGGAGAAUUAGAUGGCGCAACAGACAUGCAGGUUAUUUGGCAUCACAGAAGUGUUUAUGGUUUCACAUAUUUAAUGUUGUACGAUCUUUUGAGAGGGUUUAUUAGGUUGUUGUAAUUCUUGAUGUUAUCAUGUAGAUGUGCAUUUCUGCCAGCAUAGGAUGGCGUACAAGGAGAAUAUGAAGUCACCAAGUGAUCUGUAGUGAAGCUGUUUGGUUUAAUUAUAUAAAUUAGUGAACUAAAUAAUACGCUUGUAAAUAUAUGUAUAUUAAGGUCAUGUUAAUUCCUAUAUCAAGAUGGCAGCAUAUGAUGCACCUUUAUUU